UGGGGAAUCUUAGACAAUGGGGGAAACCCUGAUCUAGCCAUGCCGCGUGUGUGACGAAGGCCCUAGGGUCGUAAAGCUCUUUUACCAGGGAUGAUAAUGACAGUACCUGGAGAAUAAGCUCCGGCUAACUCCGUGCCAGCAGCCGCGGAAAUACGGAGGGUGCUAGCGUUGUUCGGAAUUACUGGGGGUAAAGCGCGCGUAGGCGGCUAUCCAAGUCAGGGGUGAAAUCCCGGGGCUCAACCCCGGAACUGCCCUUGAAACUAGGUAGCUAGAAUCCUGGAGAGGCGAGUGGAAUUCCGAGUGUAGAGGUGAAAUUCGUAGAUAUUCGGAAGAACACCAGUGGCGAAGGCGACUCGCUGGACAGGUAUUGACGCUGAGGUGCGAAAGCGUGGGGAGCAAACAGGAUUAGAUACCCCCGUAGUCC
rnacentral:rRNA from 1 species